GUCUAAGUAUAAGCACUUAUACCGUGAAACUGCGAAUGGCUCAUUAAAUCAGUUAUCGUUUAUUUGAUAGUACCUUUACCUGGAUAACCGUGGUAAUUCUAGAGCUAAUACAUGCUAAAAACCCCGACUUCGGGAGGGGUGUAUUUAUUAGAUAAAAAACCAAUGCCCUUCGGGGCUCCUUGGUGAUUCAUAAUAACUUAACGAAUCGCAUGGCCUUGCGCCGGCGAUGGUUCAUUCAAAUUUCUGCCCUAUCAACUUUCGAUUGUAGGAUAGAGGCCUACAAUGGUCUUAACGGGUAACGGGGAAUUAGGGUUCUAUUCCGGAGAGGGAGCCUGAGAAACGGCUACCACAUCCAAGGAAGGCAGCAGGCGCGCAAAUUACCCAAUCCCGAUACGGGGAGGUAGUGACAAUAAAUACUGAUACGGGGCUCUUUCGGGUCUCGUAAUUGGAAUGAGUACAAUCUAAAUCCCUUAACGAGGAACAAUUGGAGGGCAAGUCUGGUGCCAGCAGCCGCGGUAAUUCCAGCUCCAAUAGCGUAUAUUAAAGUUGUUGCCGUUAAAAAGCUCGUAGUUGAACCUUGGCCCUGGCUGAUCUGUCCUCCUAAUCGAGCGCACGGAUUCGGUCGGGGCUUUCCUUCUGGGGAGCCCCAUGCCCUUCACUGGGUGUGGCGGGGAACCAGGACUUUUACCUUGAAAAAAUUAGAGUGUUCAAAGCAGGCCUUUGCUCGAAUACAUUAGCAUGGAAUAAUAGAAUAGGACAUCGGUUCUAUUUUGUUGGUUUCUAGGACCGCUGUAAUGAUUAAUAGGGACAGUCGGGGGCGUCAGUAUUCAAUUGUCAGAGGUGAAAUUCUUGGAUUUAUUGAAGACUAACUACUGCGAAAGCAUUCGCCAAGGAUGUUUUCAUUAAUCAGUGAACGAAAGUUAGGGGAUCGAAGACGAUCAGAUACCGUCGUAGUCUUAACCAUAAACUAUGCCGACUAGGGAUCGGACGGUGGUUUUUUAUGCCCCGUUCGGCACCUUACGAGAAAUCAAAGUUUUUGGGCUCGGGGGGGA
rnacentral:rRNA from 1 species